AGAAUCAACGCUGGCGGCGUGCCUAACACAUGCAAGUCGAACGCGAGAGUCCCGCAAGGGACAAUUGAGUGGCAAACGGGUGAGUAACACGUGGGUGACCUGCCUUCGAGUGGGGGAUAACGUUCCGAAAGGAACGCUAAUACCGCAUGACAUCCUGCUCUUGGAAGAGCGGAGAUCAAAGCUGGGGAUCGCAAGACCUGGCGCUUGAAGAGGGGCCCGCGCCUGAUUAGCUAGUUGGUGGGUAACGGCUACCAAGGCGACGAUCAGUA
rnacentral:rRNA from 1 species